UUCUGUGAAGCCCAUGCCUUCCAAGUUGAUUUCCCUACUGAGCCCAAACCAAAUGGAGAAUCUGUCCAUUUGUAAACAAGUGCUUAGCGCAUUCUCCCCUCCAGUCCAGCCAGCCGCAGCUCAGCAGGGCUGUGAAGAGAUGUGCCACUAGGGCCUUUGCACAUGCUAUGCAGGUUAUCCCCUGCACAAGGUGAUCCCCAGCUGAUGGCCAAGGCUUUUCCUAAUUCACACAAAAGUGGGACAUGGGCCAGCAGCAGAUUAUGCACCGUGUAAUUGUGCACCAAAAUAUAUAAGAUGCAGCAGGAGACUUUCCACCUCAGGGCUUGCUCUCCCUUUGUGGGCUCAGUAGACAGUAUUAAUUAGCGGCUGGAGAGAAGGCUAGCCCAAUAUACACUUAAAACUCAGGCAAGACUGAGCUCCUUGAAUUACGACUCUUGUGGAAAGUAACUGGAUUCAUUGGAAUUCUCAGUUGCAGAUAAUGGAAACCAAUUCGCUGACUUGAGCAGAAAAGGAAUUUAUUGAAAGCAUGUCAGGUGGGUCACAGAAAUGUCAGCAAAGCUACAGCCCAGGCACAAGAUAAAGGGCAGUGACAAGGGAGGUCAGGUGUCCGUCACAACAGCAGUCUGUGUGAUGACACAGCCCCAGUCUGGCAUAGGUACCAGGCUUAUGCUGCUGCCACAGGGAUGAUGGAGUGAAAGGUGUCACCACUCCAGCUAAAAUGGAUUCUCUAGGGCCUUGUUUCACUGCAUAUGCACAUAUAAUUGGUGAACCUGGGUCACGUGUUUAACCCUCCCAGCUGCAAGGUACACUGGAAAAGUGAAUGACUGACAUUUCCCAGUCUGUAGAGGGUGUGCUCUCUGCCUCCCACCAAGACCCUGAAGGGGGAGAGGUCCCCUCCAAGUAAUUGAAGGCAGUUCUCUGAAAUCAACAGACAUUCUGCAGAAACAGAAACCAGCCAGAGCUAGCUUCAGUAAAAAGGACUCUUAGAGGCUACAGUGUGUUUCAUGGCACCAAGGGCAGGAGGGAAGCUGGACUUCUGUAAUGGCCUGGAACCAGGUGCUGAGAACUCUCUGGCCAAGGCUUUCAUUUCGGUAGAAAGCAAGCGAACAAGAUGCUUUCUGAUGGUGAGAACCACAAACUGAGGGACAUUCUACAACCAAACAAAAGUAAACAACAAAGACAACCCAACUGGCCUGUAGUCUUCAAAAAUGUCAAGGUCACGAAAGACAAAGAAGGACUGAGGAAGAGGUUGCACAUUAAACAGCUGUGGCAAUCGAGCACAUUGUGUGGUCCCGGACCAGUAUUUUUUUUUUUUUUUUUAAUGAACUUCUUUGUUGGCUUAUUAGCUAUAACUGUAUGUGUGUUUGUGUAUGUGUUCUUUUUUAGUGUUUGCUUUAGAAUUUAUAGUAUACACGUUUAGCUCAUUGCACUCCACUUUGAGGUAUUAUAUCACUUGAUACUUCAUGUAUGGUGUAAGAACCUUGGAUAGUGUACUUGUGUUUCUUCCCCUUCCAGCCUUUUGUGCUAUUACUGUCAUACAUUUGUACUUCUAAUAUGUUAUAAACCCCAUAUUACCAUGUCAUUAUUUUUGUUUAAACAGUCACCUCUUAAAGAGAUUUACAUCAGAAAACAUGC